rnacentral:rRNA from 1 species
UACGUAGGUGGCAAGCGUUGUCCGGAUUUACUGGGCGUAAAGGGCGUGCAGGCGGUCUGUUAAGUUCAGGGUGAAAGCUCCCGGCUCAACUGGGAGAGGUCCUUGGAUACUGGCAGACUUGAGGGAGGUAGAGGAGAGUGGAAUUCCCGGUGUAGUGGUGAAAUACGUAGAGAUUGGGAAGAACACCAGUGGCGAAGGCGGCUAUCUGGACGGUUUCUGACACUAAGACACGAAAGCGUGGGGAGCAAACAGG